rnacentral:tRNA from 1 species
GCGUCCGUGGUGUAGUUGGCAACACAAGAGCCUUCCAAGCUCUAGUCACCGGUUCGAACCCGGUCGGACGCU